GUGUACAAACAUAGGCAUCGUGAAUAUCUCUAACUCAGUAGUUCCCUACAUAAAGUACGGGGAAAGUGAACUGUCCAUGUAAAUUUCAGUGGCCUAUUUCAAUGCUAGGCCGAAUCCAAACUUGGGAUAAUUUGCUUAAGAGACAAGUAAUUCAUACUGCUGAUGAAGCUCUUUGUCCGCUGUGUGGCCUGGUGGAGGAGUCGUGCUCUCACUUGCUUUUUACGUGCCCUACUGUACUGCUGAUAUGGUAUGACUGCUACGCUUGGCUGGGUAUAUCCACAGCCCAGGUUACUGAUCCAGAGGUCCAUUUACUGCAAUUUGCCUCAAUUGGGAGUGAUAAAGCUCAAAAAUUAGGUGUAAUUGCAAUCUGGUUGGGAGUAGUUUGGUCACUAUGGUGUAUGCGUAAUAGAGUUAUUUUUAAUGGAGGAGAGGUGGAUAAAGCCCAAGUUCUGGAGCAGGUUCAGAUUAAAUCGUGGCAAUGGCUCAGCCCCCUCACGGGGCUUUCCAAAUCUCUUUGGAUUUAUUUUUCGUACUUUGCUUCCGCUUGUUAGUUCUAGCCGUUUUCUUAUGGCCUUGUUUCUUUCUGAUUAUGGCUCCCUUUCUCUUGGAACCCUAGUGAUCGUUGUCACGUUCUUGGCAGUCACCAUUAACGUUCAACACUGUCAACGUCCUUCUACCGCCGUUUUCCGAAGUUGCUCAUAACAGAUCAAAGACACCUCCAUCUUUUCCCUGAAGCGCCGCCGCCUGUAUCUUGAGCAAGGUUGCUCCUUGAGCGGGCAAGUCUCAUUGAUUAGUGAACACUAAAAAUCUGUGGUAGGAAUAUCUUUGUCUCUCCCACGGUACCCCCGUUCAUAAUUUUGUGGUGACUGAUAUUAUUUUUCACAUACUUUUUCUCUACAUGGUGUAGUUUAUUCAAUUUGUACAAUUUGGAAAGAUGCCACAUUACUACGGUUAUUGGACUUGGCAAUUGUGGUAUUUUGAGUAUGGAAUGAGUAUGAUUGAUUUCUCGUGAGCAGUAGUGAUGUUUGUGGCUGGCUAAGUACAAGAGAGUUUCAUGUUGGUUACUUAGCUGGUGCAAUCAUCAUCGAUGCGUUUUUUCAUGAAACUGUGUCUAACUUUUCAUCUGGCUACACCAAGGGAUGAAUUGGAAUUGAAUUUGAAGACUUGGGCUGUUGGUUCAAUAGCUUUAAGAACAAAUAUUUGUUACAAGCUAUGCAUAACAAUGGUUCUAGACUUGUAGUAAACAACCAUGAAUAUCAAUCAUGAUAAAUGUUAAAACUUGAUAGGAAAAUUAUCUGCAGGAAGCUUUUUGCCACUUUGCUUCUGCACAAAGGGGUAUAAACCGGUCAAUGUGAGUGAAAGAAACAGAAUUUAUGAAGUGGAGAAAAUAUAUUGCUCUCUACCUUCUCCAUUGGUGCGGCUGCAAUAUUGCGGAGAAUUGCAGUGUAAACGGAAUUCAGACGGAAUAGCUGUUACAAAACCCCAAUUUCACCGUAUCACUGCCGCUCCGGUGGCCGCAACAGGCGUUCCGUGUUUCUUCAGUCUGAUCUGCUUCAGCAUUCCUUGACGAGCUCGAGAGCGAUCUUCAGGUUUGGUGAAGGUAAAGAGCAAUUUCUUUAGGAAUGAAUAGAGAAGAGAUGGAUGUGACAUGUCGUUGCUUCCACUGCAAAUUGCAAUCUCACCGCAGCUUUCACUCUUCCAUUUCAUCUAUCGGAAAAGUAAUUUCUUUCACUCUAAUCCUUCUCUAUCAAUAGGCAAUUUCCUACCCCUUCACAGCUUUCCCUUUCACUCUCGAAAUCUCCAGAUCCCCUCCUCCCUUCACAGCUUUGAUGACUGUUCAAUUUCCAGACAGAACCAUCAUAGUCACCUCCUCCUUCUUACCUCCAUCAAUAGCCACCUCCUCACCUUUCCAUAUGCACCCUGUCUGUCGAGAGCUUCCAUCAAGCCGGGCACGACAGAAGCAACUCCACCGUGCGGUUGUUCCAUGACGCCACUUUGGCCGUUGCCCCAUAGACUUUUCUAGGUAUCGUUCUAGAAGCAACACUUUUGCCAUUUAAGAAAUUCUAUGGAGAUGUCAUUUGUGCUUUAUAAGGAUUGGAUUUUCCCAAGCAAGUACUGAUCACAAAUCUUCUGAAGAGAACGCUAGCGAGGCUUUCUAAAUUGGCUUAUACCUUGAUGAGGAUUUCAGUGUCAUAAGCUUUGCUCUUCUGCUGUGCCGUUUCCCGUUUCUCGAAUUCAUCUGUCUGUAGCCUUUUGUUUUUUGGUGAGUAGAAAGACUUAUUUCCUUCUUUGGUCUACAUAAUCUAUGAAUCAUUGAUACAUGUGUUUCCUUCAUGUAUUCGUAUUCAUAUAGGAUACAAGUUCUCUUCAGGGAUGUUAAUUAGAUCCUUACGACAUGUAUUCAUAUCUUCUUCAUGUUAAUUAGUUCUAUUAUUUCGACGCA